rnacentral:rRNA from 1 species
AGAGUUUGAUCAUGGCUCAGAACGAACGCUGGCGGCAGGCUUAACACAUGCAAGUCGAACGGGCAUAGCAAUAUGUCAGUGGCAGACGGGUGAGUAACGCGUGGGAACGUACCCUUUACUACGGAAUAACGCAUGGAAACGUGUGCUAAUACCGUAUGUGCCCUUCGGGGGAAAGAUUUAUCGGUAAAGGAUCGGCCCGCGUUGGAUUAGCUAGUUGGUGGGGUAAAGGCCUACCAAGGCGACGAUCCAUAGCUGGUCUGAGAGGAUGAUCAGCCACAUUGGGACUGAGACACGGCCCAAACUCCUACGGGAGGCAGCAGUGGGGAAUAUUGGACAAUGGGCGCAAGCCUGAUCCAGCCAUGGCCGCGUGAGUGAUGAAGGCCCUAGGGUUGUAAAGCUCUUUCACCGGUGAAGAUAAUGACGGUAACCGGAGAAGAAGCCCCGGCUAACUUCGUGCCAGCAGCCGCGGUAAUACGGAGGGGGCUAGCGUUGUUCGGAAUUACUGGGCGUAAAGCGCACGUAGGCGGGUAUUUAAGUCAGGGGUGAAAUCCCGGAGCUCAACUCCGGAACUGCCUUUGAUACUGGGUACCUAGAGUAUGGAAGAGGUAAGUGGAAUUCCGAGUGUAGAGGUGAAAUUCGUAGAUAUUCGGAGGAACACCAGUGGCGAAGGCGGCUUACUGGUCCAUUACUGACGCUGAGGUGCGAAAGC